rnacentral:rRNA from 1 species
AUUGAACGCUGGCGGCAUGCCUAACACAUGCAAGUCGAACGGCAGCACGGCAGUAGCAAUACUGUGGGUGGCGAGUGGCGGACGGGUGAGGAAUACGUCGGAAUCUGCCCAGUCGUGGGGGAUAACUAGCCGAAAGGUUAGCUAAUACCGCAUACGACCGAGAGGUGAAAGCGGGGGACCGCAAGGCCUCGCGCGAUUGGAUGAGCCGACGUCGGAUUAGCUAGUUGGAGGGGUAAAGGCCCACCAAGGCGACGAUCCGUAGCUGGUCUGAGAGGAUGAUCAGCCACACUGGAACUGAGACACGGUCCAGACUCCUACGGGGAGGCAGCAGGUGGGAAUAUUGGACAAGUGGGCGCAAGCCUGACUCCAGCAAUGCCGCGUGUGUGAAGA